GAGUUUGAUCAUGGCUCAGGAUGAACGCUGGCGGCGUGCUUAACACAUGCAAGUCGAACGAACCUUCGGGUUAGUGGCGGACGGGUGAGUAACGCGUGAGAAUCUGCCCUCAGGAGGGGGACAACAGCUGGAAACGGCUGCUAAUACCCCAUAUGCCGCGAGGUGAAAUGAAUUUCGCCUGAGGAUGAGCUCGCGUCUGAUUAGCUAGUUGGUGUAGGUAAUGGCUCACCAAGGCAUCGAUCAGUAGCUGGUCUGAGAGGAUGAUCAGCCACACUGGGACUGAGACACGGCCCAGACUCCUACGGGAGGCAGCAGUGGGGAAUUUUCCGCAAUGGGCGAAAGCCUGACGGAGCAACGCCGCGUGAGGGAUGAAGGCCUCUGGGCUGUAAACCUCUUUUAUCAAGGAAGAAGAUCUGACGGUACUUGAUGAAUAAGCCACGGCUAAUUCCGUGCCAGCAGCCGCGGUAAUACGGGAGUGGCAAGCGUUAUCCGGAAUUAUUGGGCGUAAAGCGUCCGCAGGCGGCCCUUCAAGUCUGCUGUUAAAAAGUGGAGCUUAACUCCAUCAUGGCAGUGGAAACUGUUGGGCUUGAGUGUGGUAGGGGCAGAGGGAAUUCCCGGUGUAGCGGUGAGAUGCGUAGAUAUCGGGAAGAACACCAGUGGCGAAGGCGCUCUGCUGGGCCAUCACUGACGCUCAUGGACGAAAGCCAGGGGAGCGAAAGGGAUUAGAUACCCCUGUAGUCCUGGCCGUAAACGAUGAACACUAGGUGUCGGGGGAAUCGACCCCCUCGGUGUCGUAGCCAACGCGUUAAGUGUUCCGCCUGGGGAGUACGCACGCAAGUGUGAAACUCAAAGGAAUUGACGGGGGCCCGCACAAGCGGUGGAGUAUGUGGUUUAAUUCGAUGCAACGCGAAGAACCUUACCAGGGUUUGACAUCCUGCGAAUCUCUUGGAAACAGGAGAGUGCCUUCGGGAACGCAGUGACAGGUGGUGCAUGGCUGUCGUCAGCUCGUGUCGUGAGAUGUUGGGUUAAGUCCCGCAACGAGCGCAACCCACGUCUUUAGUUGCCAGCAUUUAGUUGGGCACUCUAGAGAGACUGCCGGUGAUAAACCGGAGGAAGGUGUGGAUGACGUCAAGUCAUCAUGCCCCUUACAUCCUGGGCUACACACGUACUACAAUGCUACGGACAAAGGGCAGCAAGUUCGCGAGGACAAGCAAAUCCCAUAAACCGUGGCUCAGUUCAGAUCGUAGGCUGCAACUCGCCUACGUGAAGGCGGAAUCGCUAGUAAUCGCAGGUCAGCAUACUGCGGUGAAUACGU
rnacentral:rRNA from 1 species